AAUUUGAAGAGUUUUGAUCAUGGCUCAGAUUUAACGCUGGCGGCAGGCCUAACACAUGCAAGUCGAACGGUAACAGGAAGCAGCUUGCUGCUUUGCUGACGAGUGGCGGACGGGUGAGUAAUGUCUGGGAAACUGCCUGAUGGAGGGGGAUAACUACUGGAAACGGUAGCUAAUACCGCAUAACGUCGCAAGACCAAAGAGGGGGACCUUCGGGCCUCUUGCCAUCAGAUGUGCCCAGAUGGGAUUAGCUAGUAGGUGGGGGUAACGGCUCACCUAGGCGACGAUCCCUAGCUGGUCUGAGAGGAUGACCAGCCACACUGGAACUGAGACACGGUCCAGACUCCUACGGGAGGCAGCAGUGGGGGAAUAUUGCACAAUGGGGCGCAAGCCUGAUGCAGCCAUGCCGCGUGUAUGAAGARGGCCUUCGGGUUGUAAAGUACUUUCAGCGGGGAGGAAGGUGUUGUGGUUAAUAACCGCAGCAAUUGACGUUACCCGCAGAAGAAGCACCGGCUAACUCCGUGCCAGCAGCCGCGGUAAUACGGAGGGUGCAAGCGUUAAUCGGAAUUACUGGGCGUAAAGCGCACGCAGGCGGUCUGUCAAGUCGGAUGUGAAAUCCCCGGGCUCAACCUGGGAACUGCAUUCGA
rnacentral:ncRNA from 1 species